rnacentral:lncRNA from 1 species
CGCGAUUUAGGUCCGCAGUGGAUCUCCACACGACACGGCUCCGGGGAGGUGUCAGCUGGAUCUCGGCCAUUUCCUCAAAGCACGCUUAAUAAAUAAAAUAACUGUCGCCAAGUGCCUUCUUGGGCAUAGAGUAUCCAUCUCUCGCCAAGGCAAGAGAUCUGGGAUAUGGAUAUAGAGUAAAAAGAAGAUGCCACUUACAUCAACAUGAUAUCAUUAUGAUAUUAUAAUUAUAUUUAUAUUUCUAAAAUUCAAAAAAAAGAAAAAUCAGAAAAAU